rnacentral:misc_RNA from 1 species
GAUGAAGAACGCAGCGAAAUGCGAUAAGUAAUGUGAAUUGCAGAAUUUAGUGAAUCAUCGAAUCUUUGAACGCAUAUUGCGCCCGCCAGCACUCUGGCGGGCAUGCCUGUUCGAGCGUCAUUUCAACCCUCAGGCCUCGCGUCUGGCGUUGGGGCGCUGCGGCCCUCCCGCAGGCCCCCAGAUUUAGCGGCGGAUUCCCCGCGGCCCUGAGCGCAGUAGAGAGUAAAAACUUUAACGCUCCGGCGGCCGUGGCGCGGUUCUGCCUCUUUCCCAAUAGCGCCAAUAGCGCCACCCCCAAAAAAGUUGACCUCGGAUCAGGUAGGACUACCCGCUGAACUUAAGCAUAUCAAUAAGCGGAGGA